rnacentral:rRNA from 1 species
AUGAACGCUAGCUACAGGCUUAACACAUGCAAGUCGAGGGGCAGCAUGAACUUAGCUUGCUAAGUUUGAUGGCGACCGGCGCACGGGUGAGUAACACGUAUCCAACCUGCCGAUGACUCGGGGAUAGCCUUUCGAAAGAAAGAUUAAUACCCGAUGGCAUAGUUCUUCCGCAUGGUAGAACUAUUAAAGAAUUUCGGUCAUCGAUGGGGAUGCGUUCCAUUAGGUUGUUGGCGGGGUAACGGCCCACCAAGCCUUCGAUGGAUAGGGGUUCUGAGAGGAAGGUCCCCCACAUUGGAACUGAGACACGGUCCAAACUCCUACGGGAGGCAGCAGUGAGGAAUAUUGGUCAAUGGACGAGAGUCUGAACCAGCCAAGUAGCGUGAAGGAUGACUGCCCUAUGGGUUGUAAACUUCUUUUAUACGGGAAUAAAGUGAGGCACGUGUGCCUUUUUGUAUGUACCGUAUGAAUAAGGAUCGGCUAACUCCGUGCCAGCAGCCGCGGUAAUACGGAGGAUCCGAGCGUUAUCCGGAUUUAUUGGGUUUAAAGGGAGCGUAGGCGGACGCUUAAGUCAGUUGUGAAAGUUUGCGGCUCAACCGUAAAAUUGCAGUUGAUACUGGGUGUCUUGAGUACAGUAGAGGCAGGCGGAAUUCGUGGUGUAGCGGUGAAAUGCUUAGAUAUCACGAAGAACUCCGAUUGCGAAGGCAGCUUGCUGGACUGUAACUGACGCUGAUGCUCGAAAGUGUGGGUAUCAAACAGGAUUAGAUACCCUGGUAGUCCACACUGUAAACGAUGAUUACUAGGUGUUGGAGGAUUGACCCCUUCAGUGCCGCAGUUAACACAAUAAGUAAUCCACCUGGGGAGUACGACCGCAAGGUUGAAACUCAAAGGAAUUGACGGGGGCCCGCACAAGCGGAGGAACAUGUGGUUUAAUUCGAUGAUACGCGAGGAACCUUACCCGGGCUUGAAUUGCAACUGAAUGAUGUGGAGACAUGUCAGCCGCAAGGCAGUUGUGAAGGUGCUGCAUGGUUGUCGUCAGCUCGUGCCGUGAGGUGUCGGCUUAAGUGCCAUAACGAGCGCAACCCUUAUCGAUAGUUACCAUCAGGUUAUGCUGGGGACUCUGUCGAGACUGCCGUCGUAAGAUGUGAGGAAGGUGGGGAUGACGUCAAAUCAGCACGGCCCUUACGUCCGGGGCUACACACGUGUUACAAUGGGGGGUACAGAAGGCAGCUACACGGCGACGUGAUGCUAAUCCCUAAAGCCUCUCUCAGUUCGGAUUGGAGUCUGCAACCCGACUCCAUGAAGCUGGAUUCGCUAGUAAUCGCGCAUCAGCCACGGCGCGGUGAAUACGUUCCCGGGCCUUGUACACACCGCCCGUCAAGCCAUGAAAGCCGGGGGUACCUGAAGUGCGUAACCGCAAGGAGCGCCCUAGGGUAAAACUGGUGAUUGGGGCU